GCCCCAGUAGCUCAGUGGACAGAGCACCGGACUUCUAAUCCGAUGGUCGCAGGUUCGAAUCCUGCCUGGGGUGCCU
rnacentral:tRNA from 1 species